CAAAGAUUAAGCCAUGCACGUCUCAGUGCAAGCCAAUUUAAGGUGAAACCGCGAAAGGCUCAUUAAAUCAGUUAUGGUUCCUUGGAUGGUACACACAGUUACUUGGAUAACUGUGGUAAUUCUAGAGCUAAUACAUGCAAAUUGGAACCUUUUCCAUUUACUGGAAUUGGUGCUUUUAUUAGAUCAAAACCAAUCAGGCUUAACGGCCUGUUGCUCUUGGUGACUCUGAAUAACUUUGGGCUGAUCGCAUGGUCUCGUACCGGCGACGCAUCUUUCAAAUGUCUGACUUAUCAACUUUCGAUGGUAGGCUCUGCGCCUACUAUGGUUGUAACGGGUAACGGAGAAUCAGGGUUCGAUUCCGGAGAGGGAGCCUGAGAAACGGCUACCACAUCCAAGGAAGGCAGCAGGCGCGCAAAUUACCCACUCCCAGAUCGGGGAGGUAGUGACGAAAAAUAACGAUGCAGAACUCAUUCCGAGGCUCUGCAAUCGGAAUGAGUACACUUUAAAUCAUUUAACGAGUAUCCAUUGGAGGAAAAGUCUGGUGCCAGCACCCGCGGUAAUUCCAGCUCCAAUAGCGUAUAUUAAAGUUGUUGCGGUUAAAAAGCUCGUAGUUGGAUCUGUGUCUCACGCUGUCGGUUCACUGUUUUGACAAUGUUUUAACUGAUAAGAAUGUUGGGACGUCAUGCCGGUUGGCGUGCGCUGUUAACAUGGUUCAUUCAGGGCUUCGGUCUUGGGUGGCUGUGUGGGUGCUUGCCAGUUCCAAUCCUGUCGCGGUGCUCUUCGCCGAGUGUCGAGGCGGGCCGGUACGUUUACCUUGAACAAAUUUGAGUGCUUAAAGCGGGCUGUUAUCGCUGGAAAACUGUGUGCAUGGAAUAAUAUAAUAGGACCGCGGUUCUAUUUUGUUGGUUUUCAGAGUCCGAGGUAAUGAUUAAUAGGGACAGGCGGGGGCAUUAGUAUUGCGACGCUAGAGGUGAAAUUCUUGGAUCGUCGCAAGACUAACCUAAGCGAAAGCAUUUGCCAAGGAUGCUUCCAUUAAUCAAGAACGAAAGUUAGAGGUUCGAAGGCGAUCAGAUACCGCCCUAGUUCUAACCAUAAACGAUGCCAGCCAGCGAUCCGUCGACGUUCCUCCGAUGACUCGACGGGCAGCUUCCGGGAAACUAAAGCAUUUGGGUUCCGGGGGAAGUAUGGUUGCAAAGCUGAAACUUAAAGGAAUUGACGGAAAGGCACCACCAGGAGUGGAGCCUGCGGCUUAAUUUGACUCAACACGGGAAACCUCACCAGGCCAGAACACUAAUAGGAUUGACAGAUUGAGAGCUCUUUCUUGAUUUAGUGGGUGGUGGUGCAUGGCCGUUCUUAGUUGGUGGAGCGAUUUGUCUGGUUAAUUCCGAUAACGAACGAGACUCCAGCCUACUAACUAGACGUAAUUUUAACCAGUAUCUAUGCUACUGGCGGUUCAUUCUCUUCUUAGAGGGACAGGCGGCUUCUAGCCGCACGAGACGGAGCAAUAACAGGUCUGUAAUGCCCUUAGAUGUUCUGGGCCGCACGCGCGCUACACUGAAGGAAUCAACGUGUGAUUUGCCCUAGACCGAAAGGCCCGGGUAACCCGUUGAACCUCCUUCGUGCUAGGGAUUGGGGUUUGCAAUUUUAUCCCAUGAACGAGGAAUUCCUAGUAAGUGCGAGUCAUAAGCUCGUGUUGAUUAGGUCCCUGCCUUUUGUGCACACCGCCCGUCGCUACUACCGAUUGAACGAUUUAGUGAGGUCUUCAGACC
rnacentral:rRNA from 1 species